rnacentral:rRNA from 1 species
CAGGAUGAACGCUGGCGGCGUGCUUAACACAUGCAAGUCGAACGAUGAUCCCAGCUUGCUGGGGGAUUAGUGGCGAACGGGUGAGUAACACGUGAGUAACCUGCCCUUGACUCUGGGAUAAGCCUGGGAAACUGGGUCUAAUACCGGAUAUGACUCCUCAUCGCAUGGUGGGGGGUGGAAAGCUUUUGUGGUUUUGGAUGGACUCGCGGCCUAUCAGCUUGUUGGUGGGGUAAUGGCCUACCAAGGCGACGACGGGUAGCCGGCCUGAGAGGGUGACCGGCCACACUGGGACUGAGACACGGCCCAGACUCCUACGGGAGGCAGCAGUGGGGAAUAUUGCACAAUGGGCGCAAGCCUGAUGGAGCAACUCCGCGUGCAGGAUGAAGGCCUUCGGGUCGUAAACUGCUUUUAUGAGUGAAGAAUAUGACGGUAACUCAUGAAUAAGGGUCGGCUAACUACGUGCCAGCAGCCGCGGUCAUACGUAGGACCCAAGCGUUAUCCGGAGUGACUGGGCGUAAA